GGGCGUGAUGAUUUCAAGACACAAAUAGGAAUUCCUCAUUCUGAAGUUAUCAUGUUGAUUCCGUCUCUAUUAAGUUUCAGCCUUGUCUGACC
rnacentral:snoRNA from 1 species